rnacentral:rRNA from 1 species
GAUGAACGCUGGCGGCGUGCCUAAUACAUGCAAGUCGAGCGAACAGACGAGAGUGCUUGCACUCUCUGACGUUAGCGGCGGACGGGUGAGUAACACGUGGGUAACCUACCUAUAAGACUGGGAUAACUUCGGGAAACCGGAGCUAAUACCGGAUAAUAUUUAGCUUCGCAUGAAGCAAUAGUGAAAGACGGUUCUGCUGUCACUUAUAGAUGGACCCGCGGUGUAUUAGCUAGUUGGUGAGGUAACGGCUCACCAAGGCAACGAUACAUAGCCGACCUGAGAGGGUGAUCGGCCACACUGGGACUGAGACACGGCCCAGACUCCUACGGGAGGCAGCAGUAGGGAAUCUUCCGCAAUGGACGAAAGUCUGACAGAGCAAUGCCGCGUGAGUGAAGAAGGUGUUCGGAUCGUAAAACUCUGUUGUAAGGGAAGAACUAGUACGUUAGUAACUGAACGUACCUUGACGGUACCUUACCAGAAAGCCACGGCUAACUACGUG